GGAGACACCAUUUCCAAAACUUAAAGCAACCAUGUAAUGCCUCAGGAGUCUGUAGAGGGGACGAAGACGCGUUCUGCUGCACUUAACAGAGCUCAAGACCAACGGGACGCCAUCAGGACGCCAUCAGGACGCCACGUCAACGGGACGCCAUCAGGACGCCACGUCAACGGGACGCCAUCAGGACCUCACGUCAACCCCUCAGGAGCAAAUCCAGAUCUACGCAUGACACACACACACACACCCCCACACACACACACACAGAUGUACACACAGACACACUAACAUUUGGUUCUAAACAAAGACACACACUAACAUUUAGAUGUACACAAAGACACAUUAAUAUUUAGAUGUACACACAGACACACUAACAAUUAGAUGUACACACAGACACACUAUCAUUUGGUUCUAAACAAAGACACACACUAAUAUUUAGAUGUACACACAGACACACUAACAAUUAGAUGUACACACAGACACAUCCUGAUGAUCCUCCUCACGUCUCUUCUCCUUGUCUGCAGACCAACAGGACGCCAUCAGGACGCCA
ensembl:lncRNA